CAAUUUGAAUCUUUUCUUCAAAAACUUUCGCGAUCAACUCUUCAAGACUCCAUUCAACAUUACGAAAUUCGCCAACCUAUAAAAUCCUUAACAAUAUCCCCCUUUGGCGAUUUCGUGACAAAAUAUACUACAAUGCUCGUACACAACUCAGAAACAAUAAAAAGAAGAUCAUCACAAUCACCAAACGAUAAUCUCCUGCAUGAUCGAUCCAAUAAACGAAAAUUACAAUUUUCAUAACCUUAAUACAGACUCUAUGACUUAGAUAUGGAGUCUUGAAGUCUUGAAUUAUUCCUGCAAA
rnacentral:lncRNA from 1 species